rnacentral:rRNA from 1 species
CCUACGGGUGGCAGCAGUAGGGAAUAUUGCGCAAUGGGCGAAAGCCUGACGCAGCAACGCCGCGUGAAGGAUGAAGGCUUUCGGAUUGUAAACUGCUUUUAUGAGGGAAGAGCAUAAGACGGUACAACUUAAAUCAGCCACGGCUAACUAAGUGACAGCAGGCGGGGGAAUAAGGAGGUGGCAAGCGUGGUCCGGAUUUACUGGGUGGAAAGGGCGUGUAGCCGGGCUGACAAGUCAGAUGUGAACUUCCGGGGCUCAACCCCGGACCUGCAUUUGAAACUGUUUGUCUUGAGUAUGGGAGAGGUAGGCGGAAUUCCUAGUGUAGCGGUGAAAUGCGUAGAUAUGAGGAGGAACACCAGUGGCGAAGGCGGCCUGCUGGACGACAACUGACGCUGAGGCGCGAAAGCGUGGGGAGCAAACAGGAUUAGAUACCCCGGUAGUC